rnacentral:rRNA from 1 species
GACGAACGCUGGCGGCGUGCUUAACACAUGCAAGUCGAACGGGAUCCGGGCUUUCGGGUUUGGUGAGAGUGGCGAACGGGUGAGUAACACGUGAGUAACCUGCCCCCUUCUUUGGGAUAACGUCGGGAAAUCGGCGCUAAUACUGGAUAUUCUUGCUGCAUCGCAUGGUGUGGUUUGGAAAGGGUUUCUGGUGGGGGAUGGGCUCGCGGCCUAUCAGCUUGUUGGUGGGGUGAUGGCCUACCAAGGCUUUGACGGGUAGCCGGCCUGAGAGGGUGUCCGGCCACACUGGGACUGAGACACGGCCCAGACUCCUACGGGAGGCAGCAGUGGGGAAUAUUGCGCAAUGGGCGCAAGCCUGAUGCAGCGACGCCGCGUGAGGGAUGACGGCCUUCGGGUUGUAAACCCCUUUCAGUAUGGAACAAGGAUCCUUCUUUUGGGGGGUUUGAGGGUACGUGCAGAAGAAGCGCCGGCUAACUACGUG